CAGUUCUCAACCAAGGAAUAUGUGUUGUUGGAAGCCUUCACCUAGUGGUUAUCUCAAACAAUGUGGAUGGAGCAAUGUUCUUUGAUCUCCAUAAAGCUAGUGUGAGAGCAAUUUUAAGAGAUGAGCAAGGUUUAACUCUUGAAAGUGAUAGUAUGUUGAGGUGAAUGUCUUCCAAGAAUUGGGUGUUUCUUUCUCACCCCUUGGCAACUUGCAGAUAGAGGUGAAGAGUAUGCUAUUUUUUUUAUUUUUUUUUUCAUGAAUACAAGAUUUAGCAUGUACCUAGGAUGGGAAAUGAGGCAACACAUCGACUAGCUUCCUUUGUAUGUUGAUCAAGCUAUCUGGCUUGACAAACUUCAUAUAUAAUGGUUAUUCUAUUAAUGCUAAAAAUGAGAUUUUUGUGUAAUAAGUGGAACAUUGUCGUUUAGUAUGUGAUUUAUGUAAGUGGAACGAUGUCUUUCAAAUAUACUAAACACUUGUGCGACGUCA